GUCCAGGGUAGCCUAGUGGACAUGGCACCUGCCCGGUAAGCAGAAGGUUGUGGGUUCGAUUCCCGACCCUGGACA